GCCAAGUACCAUGGAGCCCCUUCGCCCGCCGAGGCAUAAGCUUUGAAUGGAAGCCCCGGUAAAUGGCGGGAGUAACUUUAACUGUCGUAAGGUAGCGAAAUUCCUUGUCGCAUAAGUAGCGACCUGCACGAAU
rnacentral:rRNA from 1 species